UUAAGCCAUGCAUGUCUAAGUACGAGCCGCUUGUCGGCGAAACCGCGAAUGGCUCAAUAAAUCAGUUAUGGUUCCUUAGAUCUUACCAUCCUACUUGGAUAACUGUGGUAAUUCUAGAGCUAAUACACGCACUCAAGCUUCUUUUCGCCGAUCGCACGGCCUUGGAGCCGGCGACGCAUCUUUCAAAUGUCUGCCUUAUCAACUUUCGAUGGUAGGUUAUGCGCCUACCAUGGUUGCAACGGGUAACGGGGAAUCGGGGUUCGAUUCCGGAGAGGGAGCCUGAGAAACGGCUACCACAUCCAAGGAAGGCAGCAGGCGCGCAAAUUACCCACUCCCGGCACGGGGAGGUAGUGACGAAAAAUAACGAUACGGGACUCUUCCGAGGCCCCGUGAUUGGAAUGAGUACACUUUAAAUCCUUUAACGAGGACCUAUUGGAGGGCAAGUCUGGUGCCAGCAGCCGCGGUAACUCCAGCUCCAAUAGCGUAUAUUAAAGUUGUUGCGGUUAAAAAGCUCGUAGUUGGAUUCCUGUCUUCGGCCGGCGGUGC
rnacentral:rRNA from 1 species